CCUCCUGCCAGAGCCCCCCCCCCACCAUACGUGGAUCUGGCCGGGAGCCCCGCCGCCGAUGAGGGCCACACCGGCGAUCUCGCGCAACCUACCCGCCUCCUGUUUCCUCUCCGUUCUCCUCCUUCUCUCUCCAACCCUUGUUCAUCCGCGGCCGCAGCUCGCCCCGAUUCAUGGCCCUCUCCUUCCGCCAACUCUGGUCCGUCACCGGUCGUCUGUGGCGCGAGCGUCGCGCCUCCUCCUCAACCUCCUCGAUCCGUGAUGCCCUAACUGCACUGCGCACUUGCGCCUCGCGAGCCAUGGCCACCUUUUGCCGAGCUGCGGGAUCGACGUCUGACCGCCACCACGACCGGCCUCUUGCGAAGGUCCCGGUCGCCGUCUCCUGUGCCUUUGGACCUUGGGAGCGGUGAUUAUAUGCCAGCAUGUGUGCAGGACGAUGGGAAGACGAGCUAGAGGCCAAAAGCAAUAUUGCAACACCAUGCGUGAGGAACAUGAUUCUGCCAGUAUUUAAGCAUUAUACUUGCUAACACUGAGAGCUUAAUUAUCUUUGAUGCAACCAGUCCGUCCAAGCAUGCAAAUAGUUGAUUUGGGAUGUAGAGAUUAAAGAACAGCAAAAUCGUAAGCCAUCGGGUCAGGACGUCAGGUUCAGAAUUGUCUUGGCAUCUUCCAGUGUGGCGACGAUGUUGAUUGUCGGGAUUUGAAGAUAAGUGUGCUCCAUACCGUGGCUGAGCCUGUCGGUUUCGCAGAGUGGCUGCACGACACCUCAUGGACCCGAUGUGAAGGACAAGUAAGCCAUCCACACGAAGUCGGCGGCAGCAAGGGUGUGGGGCGUCGGGAGGAGCAUCUGGGUUGAAGAUUCUGGCCCUCGCCAUUGAGACUACCGUGGUCGUCGCCGAGUACAUCUGGGGAAGGUGGAGCUGCGAGGAAACAAGACAGGUGGACAAUGCGACAGGAAGCAAGAAUGAAUUUCUAAUCAAUCUACUGUCUCCCUUGAGUCGGAGUGAACGUACCACCUACCAUGGUUUUUUUGGUACCUGCUCCCACCUAACGCUCAACCGCGUAGAACCAAAAAAAAACUCCUGCCGAGUCCCUCGCCCGCCCCCACACCCUCGCAUCAUGAGUGAAAAACCAUCCACGAAGUGAAGCAAAUAAAAUCUACAAAAAUUAACCAGCGAAAAAACCUACGAAAAUUAACCAGCGAAAAAAACACAAACGAAUCGCACGCAGGUUCGACGGGGCUCCCCUCGAUCUGUUUCCCAGGUCGAUCCUCGGGACGCCCCAGCGGCGACAGCCCUUCACCAUCGCCGAGAUCCGAGAGGAGCCACCGCCACCGAGGUCCGGGAGGAGCCGCCGCCGCACCGUCUUCCUCCUCCGCCGACCUCCAAGGCACCCUACUCGUGGGACGCCGCCGCCUCGCGGAACCCGAGGGCAGGGCAGGGCGUGAUCGCGUUGCGGUCGAGGUCCAAGAUCGCUGCCGCCGAGGUCCAAGAUCGCCGCCAUCGACCUCUGAGAUCGCCAUCCCUCUCUAUUUCUGGUUCGCUGGCCUCUUUCCCUUUUACAUCUCUCUUUGGUGCGCGUGCAUCGCUGUCGGUGUCCACUAUCGGCCGCCUCCGCCGUCGAUUGGUGCCCCCAUGUCGCUACCGACUCCGACGAGAUCUCCUAUUUCCAACAUAUGCAGCCGCCUCGCUGUUCUGGCCCCAUGUGCGGCCCCGUGGCUAACCCUAGCCACCUCUAUCUCCGACGGUGAUGCCUCCUCUUCCUCUUGCAGUCCCAUCCUCGUCCUUGCUGGUGCUCCACACGUAUAUCCGACGGUGACGGCGACCGACGGGCUGUGGGCCUACCAGAGGGCGCGGCAGGCGACAGCGCAAGGCCGCUCGCAGCAGGGCGCGUGGUCGAUGCUCACGACAAUGGUGGGCGUGAGCAUGGCACAGGCAGCGGCCAGGUGCAUGCGAGUGGUAGCCGGCGAGGACAUGUUGAUGUUCAUCCGGGCCACACGAUCCAAGGCAUGGAGAACUCCAAGGAGUUUGCUGACAAGCUGUUCGGGAUAUGUCGAGGCAAAGGAACAUUGAGCCAGAUGAAGGCAUUAACAAGGAUCAGCUCAGAGAGGUGGAACAUGAACAUUGAUGGGAUGCUCACAGAAGAUGAGGUCAAGAAGGUGGCUACGCAAAUGAUCACAAAGAGAAGACUACCGCUGGGCCUUUUGAUCGACCACGCGAUUCAAAAAGCUCUUUAGUGCAGUUUGCAACAAAAAAAAUCAGAGGAUUGGUCGUUUGUAAGGGUGGAUAUCUUAGAGGCGGCAGCCACCCGGAUUGGAAUUUAAUUUCAAUCUAUUUCCCUGUCUGAAGUUUCAUACUAGAUGAGUUGCAAGUGGUACUAUGUUCCUACGCUGCGUCGACCCGAGCAGUUGCGAGAGCGAAUGAAGUUGCGGUUGCACGGACAAGCUUGUGGAGGUGUUAGUAUGCACGCAUGCGUCCCUGAUUUGGAGCAUGCCUCUGGCCUGGUAGGAUUCUCGCUCUGCCCCGACCUCAAGGGCGUUCCUCUAUCUGUGUCGUGCUCGGGACCAUGCACUAAUGCAGGAAGAGAGUACGAUUUUUUGACACAAUCUGCAGUACCUGUGAGCCUGCCCAUAGGUAGAUAUGGAUACAUUUUGUAGCUUCCAUUCUUGUUUUCUCAUUAAAAUUAUGGAUUUGGAAACUAAUCAUGGAGUGUCUAGAUUGCCUGCUAUAUUACCAAGUGCGCUGGAGGAAAAGUUGCUGCCACUGUUGAUGACCACUCUAGGUGAUAUAAUUCAUGUUUGCUUUGUUGUUUUACUAACUUCCUGUAGCAUAUUGGUUCCAUCUUUUUUCUUUUGCAUCAUGGUACAUUAUUCUCAUCUUGAUAUAUAUCAUUUGGUCAACUGAAGAUUUGAGUGCAGGGUAGAAUUCUUGGUUGAUUUUAGAAUUUCGUUGUUGAUUAGUUGGCCAACGGACUUUUAUGAAAUUCAAGGCGUCAUUUAGUGUACUAUAUGUCAUAUUUGUCUUAUUUCUAUACUCACAAUAUUUCCGCAUCAUCUGAACAAAUGAUGCUAAAUUGAUAUAAUCAUUUUGGAUCAGUGUCAUCUUCUCAAUGCUGAACAGCCAAAAUAUAUACAUAGUGAGCAUUCCGCCGCACAUGCUCAUACGUCAUAUUUAUGUAUUAAACUUAUGUACUGUUUAAUACGGCAAAAAUUGGUCAAACAUUUAAAAAUUUCUACUGUUUAACACAACCAAAGUAUAUACAUAAUGAUCAGUCCUUCGCUGCACGUUAGAUCCAGCCUCCCUCCCUUGACACCAUUCUUCUUACUUAUUAUUAUUUAUUUUAAAAAUAUCUUUAGUUUUAUUUUCUAGCUACUUCAAUUCAUUUGUAUAUGGUUAGUUCCAUCGCACUACGAGGAUGAUCCAUGGCUGGUCGCGGACGAUCACCUGCGAGGAUGAUUCAUGGCCGGUUGGGGAUGGUCAGUUCCAUCACACUGCGAGGAGAUGAUUCAUGGUCAGUCGGGGAUGGUCACCUGCGGUGAGCACGAGUACCUCCUCCAUAUCCUCCCUAUACUAGCACCCUUGGCGAUGAAAAUGACAGCCAGGAGAAUCCCUCCUUCACACCUCUUUUCCAUCUCUGUCAGAUUGUCCUCUCCAGCAAGGCCAACCUUAAUACUGGACCUUGAAAGGGGCAUGUGGCCAACCAUGCCGGAGGACGCAGAUGAGUUGUUUGGGAAUGUUAUCAUGAGAGGACCCAAGAAGCAACCCACCACGGAUGCAUGGACCAACCACGCAAGUCCAUUCUUGCAAUCCAUCUGUGGCGAGGGUUCAUGACAGACAAGCCAAUAGAUUUGGGGGUCCACUUCUUGGUGAAACAAAUGUUCAUUGCGGACAAUACGAAGACGAUGAUUGGUACAAUGAGGUGAAUAUAUUAGAAUUUUUAUUCUUCUCUCUCCAUGUCUAUGUUUGUGCUUGAUCAACUGUCCACUUAAUGAUUUUAGUUGUACAAAGUCCUAAGCUGGUCUCACUAGGUCGUACCCAGUGGCGGAGACAGGGGGGCCAGCAGGGCCCUGGCCCCCCCUAACACCAUGAUUUUGCAUGUAAUUUGCUAUGAACAGUGGCAAAAUUAGUACUAAUUUGCUGCUAAAAAUCUAUUUUUCAACACUUUGGUCCUCCCCAACCAGUUUUAGUAGCACUUGGCCUCCCUUAUAGAUAUUUUCUGGCUCCGCCACUGGUUCGUACUCGUACCACACCGUGGGAAGGUUAUGGCCAAGAAUGAGCUGGAGGUUAUUGCUUUGGCGACGCCGAAGGCCGUUCACGCGAAGAGGAGAUGUGCCUGGUGACGAGAAGUCUUAGACCAUCGUUGAGUUUUGCUUCCUAUCAAUUCAGCAGUGUGUGUACAUGUUCAGAAUUGUUGGCUACAAACACUUGAAUUAUCUCCAAUCAUGUACUUCAGGUUCUACCAUCUUCCAUAUUUACCAUGUUUUGUCACUUAACAAAAUUUACAUAACUAUUUUGUGUAUGUAUGCAAAAUUCUGGUUUAGAAACUUAAUGCAGAAUUAAACAAAAUUAUCAUUCAGUAUUAAGAAUUUACAUUUAUCAUAAGAAAUGGCAAACUCAUAGGUAUUUCAAUCUAGAAAUUACAAUGCAAUGUUCAGGGAAGAUGGCGAGCUUCUAAUUAGCGGUAAUUUUAUUCUGUUGAAACCGAAAGAUAUGGAUGAGCCAUGAUAAUGAGUGUUAGGGGAUUGGACGGCACGACGUAAAAAGAUAUCAUUUUUACUAAAUAACUUCAUUUUCCGCAGAAACUUCCUUGCACUAAACUUACAAUAUUGGCUUCUCCAGAUGUACAUAAGCUAUUAGCUCUUAGCUCUAUUUAAUUCCACUCAUAUUUACGAAAGUGCUCUUUUGAUCCCGAGUUCACAAUCUCCCUGAUGAACAGUAAAAUCCAAAAAAUUAGUUAAAGAAUUCAAAAAAAUUCUGGAUUUAAACAUCGAUGAACGUUUUAACUUCCUGCAAAUUUUUGUGAUGAAAUAACAUUGGUGGAGGUCUGGACAAAAAGAAAAAAAUCGAUGCUCCAAAAUGCUUCCGAGAACAAAUCUUUUGGAGCGUCGAUUUUUUUUGCCCAGACCUACACGAGAUCGCAGGUGAUAUAAUUCAUGUUUGCUUUGUUGUUUCAGUAACUUCCUGUAGCAUAUUGGUUCCAUCUUUUUUUUGCAUCAUGGUACAUUAUUCUCAUCUUGAUAUAUAUCAUUUGGUCAACUGAAGAUUUGAGUGCAGGGUAGAAUUCUUGGUUGAUUUUAGAAUUUCGUUGUUGAUUAGUUGGCCAACGGACUUUUAUGAAAUUCAAGGCGUCAUUUAGUGUACUAUAUGUCAUAUUUGUCUUAUUUCUAUACUCACAAUAUUUCCGCAUCAUCUGAACAAAUGAUGCUAAAUUGAUAUAAUCAUUUUGGAUCAGUGUCAUCUUCUCAAUGCUGAACAGCCAAAAUAUAUACAUAGUGAGCAUUCCGCCGCACAUGCUCAUACGUCAUAUUUAUGUACUGUUUAACACGGCAAAAAUUGGUCAAACAUUUAAACAUUUCUACUGUUUAACACAACCAAAGUAUAUACAUAAUGAUCAGCCCUUCGCUGCACGUUAGAUCCAGCCUCCCUCCCUUGACACCAUUCUUCUUACUUAUUAUUAUUAUUUUAAAAAUAUCUUUAGUUUUAUUUUCUAGCUACUUCAAUUCAUUUGUAUAUGGUUAGUUCCAUCGCACUACGAGGAUGAUCCAUGGCUGGUCGCGGACGAUCACCUGCGAGGAUGAUUCAUGGCCGGUUGGGGAUGGUCAGUUCCAUCACACUGCGAGGAGAUGAUUCAUGGUCAGUCGGGGAUGGUCACCUGCGGUGAGCACGAGUACCUCCUCCAUAUCCUCCCUAUACUAGCACCCUUGGCGAUGAAAAUGACAGCCAGGAGAAUCCCUCCUUCACACCUCUUUUCCAUCUCUGUCAGAUUGUCCUCUCCAGCAAGGUGUCUAUGCAUGAAUCAUAUUUAUGAUUUCUUUGCAUUUUUAACAAUUAAUAUAGAUUUUUGUACCCACAACCCAAAGGCCAACCUUAAUACUGGACCUUGAAAGGGGCAUGUGGCCAACCAUGCCGGAGGACGCAGAUGAGUUGUUUGGGAAUGUUAUCAUGAGAGGACCCAAGAAGCAACCCACCACGGAUGCAUGGACCAACCACGCAAGUCCAUUCUUGCAAUCCAUCUGUGGCGAGGGUUCAUGACAGACAAGCCAAUAGAUUUGGGGGUCCACUUCUUGGUGAAACAAAUGUUCAUUGCGGACAAUACGAAGACGAUGAUUGGUACAAUGAGGUGAAUAUAUUAGAAUUUUUAUUCUUCUCUCUCCAUGUCUAUGUUUGUGCUUGAUCAACUGUCCACUUAAUGAUUUUAGUUGUACAAAGUCCUAAGCUGGUCUCACUAGGUCGUACCCAGUGGCGGAGACAGGGGGGCCAGCAGGGCCCUGGCCCCCCCUAACACCAUGAUUUUGCAUGUAAUUUGCUAUGAACAGUGGCAAAAUUAGUACUAAUUUGCUGCUAAAAAUCUAUUUUUCAACACUUUGGUCCUCCCCAACCAGUUUUAGUAGCACUUGGCCUCCCUUAUAGAUAUUUUCUGGCUCCGCCACUGGUUCGUACUCGUACCACACCGUGGGAAGGUUAUGGCCAAGAAUGAGCUGGAGGUUAUUGCUUUGGCGACGCCGAAGGCCGUUCACGCGAAGAGGAGAUGUGCCUGGUGACGAGAAGUCUUAGACCAUCGUUGAGUUUUGCUUCCUAUCAAUUCAGCAGUGUGUGUACAUGUUCAGAAUUGUUGGCUACAAACACUUGAAUUAUCUCCAAUCAUGUACUUCAGGUUCUACCAUCUUCCAUAUUUACCAUGUUUUGUCACUUAACAAAAUUUACAUAACUAUUUUGUGUAUGUAUGCAAAAUUCUGGUUUAGAAACUUAAUGCAGAAUUAAACAAAAUUAUCAUUCAGUAUUAAGAAUUUACAUUUAUCAUAAGAAAUGGCAAACUCAUAGGUAUUUCAAUCUAGAAAUUACAAUGCAAUGUUCAGGGAAGAUGGCGAGCUUCUAAUUAGCGGUAAUUUUAUUCUGUUGAAACCGAAAGAUAUGGAUGAGCCAUGAUAAUGAGUGUUAGGGGAUUGGACGGCACGACGUAAAAAGAUAUCAUUUUUACUAAAUAACUUCAUUUUCCGCAGAAACUUCCUUGCACUAAACUUACAAUAUUGGCUUCUCCAGAUGUACAUAAGCUAUUAGCUCUUAGCUCUAUUUAAUUCCACUCAUAUUUACGAAAGUGCUCUUUUGAUCCCGAGUUCACAAUCUCCCUGAUGAACAGUAAAAUCCAAAAAAUUAGUUAAAGAAUUCAAAAAAAUUCUGGAUUUAAACAUCGAUGAACGUUUUAACUUCCUGCAAAUUUUUGUGAUGAAAUAACAUUGGUGGAGGUCUGGACAAAAAGAAAAAAAUCGAUGCUCCAAAAUGCUUCCGAGAACAAAUCUUUUGGAGCGUCGAUUUUUUUUGCCCAGACCUACACGAGAUCGCAGGUGAUAUAAUUCAUGUUUGCUUUGUUGUUUCAGUAACUUCCUGUAGCAUAUUGGUUCCAUCUUUUUUUUGCAUCAUGGUACAUUAUUCUCAUCUUGAUAUAUAUCAUUUGGUCAACUGAAGAUUUGAGUGCAGGGUAGAAUUCUUGGUUGAUUUUAGAAUUUCGUUGUUGAUUAGUUGGCCAACGGACUUUUAUGAAAUUCAAGGCGUCAUUUAGUGUACUAUAUGUCAUAUUUGUCUUAUUUCUAUACUCACAAUAUUUCCGCAUCAUCUGAACAAAUGAUGCUAAAUUGAUAUAAUCAUUUUGGAUCAGUGUCAUCUUCUCAAUGCUGAACAGCCAAAAUAUAUACAUAGUGAGCAUUCCGCCGCACAUGCUCAUACGUCAUAUUUAUGUAUUAAACUUAUGUACUGUUUAAUACGGCAAAAAUUGGUCAAACAUUUAAAAAUUUCUACUGUUUAACACAACCAAAGUAUAUACAUAAUGAUCAGUCCUUCGCUGCACGUUAGAUCCAGCCUCCCUCCCUUGACACCAUUCUUCUUACUUAUUAUUAUUUAUUUUAAAAAUAUCUUUAGUUUUAUUUUCUAGCUACUUCAAUUCAUUUGUAUAUGGUUAGUUCCAUCGCACUACGAGGAUGAUCCAUGGCUGGUCGCGGACGAUCACCUGCGAGGAUGAUUCAUGGCCGGUUGGGGAUGGUCAGUUCCAUCACACUGCGAGGAGAUGAUUCAUGGUCAGUCGGGGAUGGUCACCUGCGGUGAGCACGAGUACCUCCUCCAUAUCCUCCCUAUACUAGCACCCUUGGCGAUGAAAAUGACAGCCAGGAGAAUCCCUCCUUCACACCUCUUUUCCAUCUCUGUCAGAUUGUCCUCUCCAGCAAGGUGUCUAUGCAUGAAUCAUAUUUAUGAUUUCUUUGCAUUUUUAACAAUUAAUAUAGAUUUUUGUACCCACAGCCCGAAGGCCAACCUUAAUACUGGACCUCGAAAGGGGCAUGUGGCCAACCAUGCCGGAGGACGCAGAGGGUUGUUUGGGAAUGUUAUCAUGAGAGGACCCAAGAAGCAACCCACCACGGAUGCAUGGACCAACCACGCAAGUCCAUUCUUGCAAUCCAUCUGUGGCGAGGGUUCAUGACAGACAAGCCAAUAGAUUUGGGGGUCCACUUCCUAGUGAAACAAAUGUUCAUUGCGGACAAUACGAAGACGAUGAUUGGUACAAUGAGGUGAAUAUAUUAGAAUUUUUAUUCUUCUCUCUCCAUGUCUAUGUUUGUGCUUGAUCAACUGUCCACUUAAUGAUUUUAGUUGUACAAAGUCCUAAGCUGGUCUCACUAGGUCGUACCCAGUGGCGGAGACAGGGGGGACCAGCAGGGGCCCUGGCCCCCCCUAACACCAUGAUUUUGCAUGUAAUUUGCUAUGAACAGUGGCAAAAUUAGUACUAAUUUGCUGCUAAAAAUCUAUUUUUCAAUACUUUGGUCCUCCCCAACCAGUUUUAGUAGCACUUGGCCUCCCUUAUAGAUAUUUUCUGGCUCCGCCACUGGUUCGUACUCGUACCACACCGUGGGAAGGUUAUGGCCAAGAAUGAGCUAGAGGUUAUUGCUUUGGCGACGCCGAAGGCCGUUCACGCGAAGAGGAGAUGUGUGGCUACAAACACUUGAAUUAUCUCCAAUCAUGUACUUCAGGCUGCAGGGUUGCACCUUGGAGUUCAAAAUUUGGUGUCUUCGCAUUGAAGGAUUCAAUCCAUCGACUUUGGAGUUUGAACAUGUCACUUGUGAUGGGGAGAGGAAGAGAUGACUUGCAUACACUGGACAAUGAGUGUGUUAGCAGCGUGGUGGCUCAGGACUGUACAAGUUGUAGUAGCCCCUUCCCUUAUAAAUGUUUUGUUUUGAUUGGAAGCACCUUAUAAUUAGCUAAUAUAUGGAUUUCAUUUA